AACGAACGCUGGCGGCAGGCCUAACACAUGCAAGUCGAGCGGACCCUUCGGGGUUAGCGGCGGACGGGUGAGUAACGCGUGGGAAUAUGCCCUUCUCUACGGAAUAGUCCUGGGAAACUGGGGGUAAUGCCGUAUACGCCCUUUGGGGGAAAGAUUUAUCGGGGAAGGAUUAGCCCGCGUUGGAUUAGGUAGUUGGUGGGGUAAUGGCCUACCAAGCCGACGAUCCAUAGCUGGUUUGAGAGGAUGAUCAGCCACACUGGGACUGAGACACGGCCCAGACUCCUACGGGAGGCAGCAGUGGGGAAUCUUAGACAAUGGGGGCAACCCUGAUCUAGCCAUGCCGCGUGAGUGAUGAAGGCCUUAGGGUUGUAAAGCUCUUUCAGCCGGGAAGAUAAUGACGGUACCAGCAGAAGAAGCCCCGGCUAACUCCGUGCCAGCCGCCGCCGUAAUAC
rnacentral:rRNA from 1 species